CAGGAAAUAGUUUAUAGAAAAUAUUAAUUUUGGAGAUUAAUGAAAGAGAAAUUCUCUUUUCCUGA
rnacentral:tRNA from 1 species